ensembl:lncRNA
CUGGACUUCACAGGUGGCACUAGUGGUAAAGAACCCAUCUGCCAAUGCAGGAGACAUAAGAUGCAAGUUCAGUCCCUGGUUAGGAAGAUCCCCUGGAGGAGGGCAUGGCAACCCAUUCCAGUAUUCUUGCCAGGAGAACUUCUUGGACAGAGGAGCUUGCUGGGCUAUAGUCUAUAGGGUCACAAAUAGCCGGAUGUGGCUGAAGCAAUUUAGCACACAACGAUAAGAAAAGACUAGGGUAAUUACUAGAUGAGGCUUCAGGUUCAAGAAACGAAGUUUUAAACUUGGGGAUACGCUUGAGAAUGUAAGAUACAGGGGCAAAGGAUUCACAGAGGAAGAGGAGACUGAAGAAGCUGAUGGAAGAGAGGACAUGGCCCCUCGGAAGGUGAAGAGAGAAGUUAGCCUUGAAGGAAGGGAGUGAGUGGCCUCUUUUCUCUUGAGUGGGGGAAAAGGCCAGAGCUAAAACAGAGCUUCUCAGGUGGCGCUAGUGGUAAAGAAUCCACCUGCCCAUGGCACCUCACUCCAGUAUUCUUGCCUGGAAAAUUCCAUAGACAUAGGAGCCUGUGCGCUACACCCAUGGGGUUGCAAAGAGUUGGACACGGCUGAGCAUCUGAGCACAAAGACAGUGAAACAGAGACACCGAGAGACACAGGGCUGACGCUGAAGUGAUUAUUCCAAACGGCUCUGCACGUCAUUCUUCUCUCUAGUGAUGCCGCUCCAGCAGAGCGCAGCCACUGCUCCUUGCCUUGGAUGGGGGUAUCUCCUCACGGCUGCCCUUCCUGAUCUUGAACGUGAAGUAGCUCCUCUCAGCCCUCCUGCGCCUGUGCAGCCUCCGCUCCUUGGACGUGGGGUUGCUCCUCUAGGCUGCUGCCCCUGACCUCACCAUGGGGUAGCUCUUCUCAGCCGCUGCCACUGACCUCGGGCGUGGGGUAGCUCCUCUCCACCACCACCCCUGAACUUGGGUAAGGGGAAGCUCCUCUUGGCCACCAAACAAUGUUCAAACUACCACACAAUGGCACUCAUCUCACACGCUAGCAAAGUAAUGUUCAAAAUUCUCCAAGCCAGGCAUCAGCAAUAUGUGAACCAUGAACUUCCAGAUGUUCAAGCUGAUUUUAGAAAAGGCAGAGGAAC